CACAUGUUGGCAUCCCAAAGCCCCUGUAGGAUGGGGGUCUUCAUGUGACCUUUCAAUAUUUGUGAGCUUCUAUGUGUGUUAAGUUGGCACAGACUCACUAAAACAUCAUUUCUUUGCCUUUGACUAGAACUUUAGUAACUUAAUAAUGUUCAUACUUCGGCCAUCUCACGCUAAGUUCUGGCUAGCAGCUAUGUCUUUCAUUAAUAAAAGUGAAAAUGAAAUCACUGUGACCAAAACUCACACUCACAGCUCAUGGAAGAUUCUUGAUUCCCAGACUAAGGUUUAUUUCCACCAUACAUUCCUGUCAUUUUCUUGACAUUUAGGUCAAUGAAGAAUUUUUGUUUGAUAAUUAGUUUCACAUCACUCAGCUUAAAUUCCAAUGUAAUAAAUUCUUUUAUCAAAUUUUAUUUUAAAGAUGACUAUGGCUGCUAUACAUUUCAAACCAGAUUAUUCACUAUCAAUAGAAAUAAAUACGAAACAAAGCAUUGUGAUUGAAUUUCAGCUAACCACAGUUUUGCCGACCAGGGCUCUUAAAUUGAGGUCUGUUCCCUCUUUGUUAAGGAAAGAGGGUGGAGGAGAUGAGGAAAUGUUGAGAGGUGUUAAAGGAAAAUUGGCACCAAACUGAGGCUCUCUCUAGACUUAUUCAGAAUAUAGAAAGGCAAUAAAAAGGGGAAUACAUUUCUCAUAAAAAUUAUCUCAGAGUUCCUGCUGCCUUCAACCCAUGGGAGAAAUAACCAUAUUACAGAAGUCAGAAAUAGAGCCUCUGCCCCAACCACUACCUUACUCUUUGUGGUUUCGCUAAAAAGUCACCCCUUUCUCUUCUUGAAUGGACCACCUCUACUUCUCCUUCUUCUCCAUGACUUUUGGAUCAUUUUAUCCCCUUUGCUCCCCACUUCCAGAGCCCUGUCUCUAUUCUACUGGGUAUCAAGCCCUGGGGUUCACAGCUUGUUGGUGAGAAGGCUUAGGAUCUUGGAGAUAGAAGAGAGAGUGUCGGGGACAAGGAGGAGGAGGAGGAAAAAGGAGGAGGUGGUAGUGUAUAUAGCUCAUUGUUCUCAAGCAAGUCUGAAUAUUCCCAGUCAAUGAUCCACACUUGUUUCACCCUUGAAUUCUUUUUUGUUGUUUUUUUAAUUUUUCUUUUUUCUUUUCUUUUUUUUUUUUUUUUUUUUGAGACAGGGUCUCAUUCUGCCAUCCAGGCUAGAGUGUCUGUCCUGCCUUCCUUCACAUUCAUAAAUCACAACACAUUUUCUUACUUAAUGAUGUGGGCUAGAUGAUUACCCUGCAUUUUCUAUCCUGUUUACCAUCCUACCUGGCUGAAUUUUUGAAAUUUAAUAAUUUGAAGUCACACAGAAUGCAGAUAUAGAUACCAGGCUUCCUCGUUACUUGAAACUCCUCAAUUAGUUCCUCC
rnacentral:lncRNA from 1 species